ensembl:lncRNA
GUUUUCGGUCAACAUUUUAGGCGAGUCUCGACGGACUAGCAAUAUCUCGGGGAAACAGACGACAGUACCAGGGCUGGGCAAGAUGACGAUGUAACCGCUCCGGAGAUCGUCCAACACAGAUGUGACAUUAACUACAGCUUGGCACUAUAACCAUCUCAGCUCGCUAUGGCUACACUCGGCUAGUAGGGUUCGGGUCCAGCCUUACCGAAGCAGUCCCGUCACCAAAAUAAAGAUAUCCCCACGAACUGGCUAAUCUAAAUCUAAAGACAGCGUGUCCUCCGAAGCUAUGACAUUAGCAAGGGACGAUGGGGACUCCGAAACCUAGCUUCUCCCUGGUUAUGCAACGAUAUCUCGAAAAAACUCCAGUCAUGACAGGAGCGGUGACAAGCUAUCAAGCUAACAUGGCUAACUUGAAAGCCACAACGGGACCAAUCCUAGUAUAUCAACCUUCCGCUUUCGUAUCGCCCUUCGUCUCUCGAUGUAUCUAUAUGUAAUGGAAACUAACUCUACCAAUGGCUAAAUUAUCCCCGCAACAGCCUGGACCACUCGGAAGGGCAGAUCAUCUGGGACCUGGAAGGCUUGAUCGCCAGCUCCUCCUAGCUAAUUGUCGUGGUGCCCCUGAGCAAGACAACCUAUCUACAACUGCAAGAUGGACACUGCAGUCGAUGUGGGAAAGUUCAUAUGAACAGACAAUAACCGAUGUGAUUGGCAACUGGCUGUUUGAAAUACAGCACUGCCAGUGGAAGGGUUGUGUCAUGCAGGUCUCCAGCCUCCUGGAAGAGCUCCUUAUCCUCCUACAGAGGAUAGGGAGAGAUAUGCUUAGAUGCGAUCAAUUUGUCAAUAAAUGCCAUAGCAAUGUCCAGAUGCACAGAGGGGAUUUUUGAAUGAUUGGACUUGGAUUUCAUUCCCAUGACCCUGUCACAUGCUUUGAUGUCAUUUGUCUAAGAAGUCCAUCACCACAGGGAUAGAUGUUGGUCCCUUCAGUCGCAAGAGGGGCUGAUUUAGUCAAACUGACCCACAGGGGAAAUUACAUGGAACCUUCUAUGCUUAAUGCAAGCAUAGCCGAUGAGAUUGUAUCUGCUAAAAGGAAGACAGAAAGAUAGAAUAGAGGGGC